rnacentral:rRNA from 1 species
GGAUAACUUACCCUUUAGGACUGGGAUAACUCUGGGAAACUGGGGAUAAUACUGGAUAUUAGGCUAUGCCUGGAAUGGUUUGCCUUUGAAAUGUUUUUUUUCGCCUAAGGAUAGAUCUGCGGCUGAUUAGGUCGUUGGUGGGGUAAUGGCCCACCAAGCCGAUGAUCGGUACGGGUUGUGAGAGCAAGAGCCCGGAGAUGGAACCUGAGACAAGGUUCCAGACCCUACGGGGUGCAGCAGGCGCGAAACCUCCGCAAUGUACGAAAGUGCGACGGGGGGAUCCCAAGUGUCAUGCUUUUUUGUAUGACUUUUCAUUAGUGUAAAAAGCUUUUAGAAUAAGAGCUGGGCAAGACCGGUGCCAGCCGCCGCGGUAACACCGGCAGCUCGAGUGGUAGCUGUUUUUAUUGGGCCUAAAGCGUUCGUAGCCGGUUUGAUAAGUCUUUGGUGAAAGCUUGUAGCUUAACUAUAAGAAUUGCUGGAGAUACUAUUAGACUUGAAGUCGGGAGAGGUUAGAGGUACUACCGGGGUAGGGGUGAAAUCCUAUAAUCCUGGGAGGACCACCUGUGGCGAAGGCGUCUAACUGGAACGAUCUUGACGGUGAGUAACGAAAGCCAGGGGCGCGAGCCGGAUUAGAUACCCGGGUAGUCCUGGCCGUAAACGAUGUGGACUUGGUGUUGGAAUGGCUUUGAGUUGUUCCUGUGCCGAAGGGAAGCUGUUAAGUCCACCGCCUGGGAAGUACGGUCGCAAGACUGAAACUUAA